rnacentral:rRNA from 1 species
ACGAACGCUGGCGGCGUGCUUAACACCUGCAAGUCGAACGGAAAGGCCCUGCUUGCAGGGUACUCGAGUGGCGAACGGGUGAGUAACACGUGGGUGAUCUGCCCUGCACUUCGGGAUAAGCCUGGGAAACUGGGUCUAAUACCGGAUAGGAGCCAUUUUUAGUGUGAUGGUUGGAAAGUUUUUUCGGUGUAGGAUGAGCUCGCGGCCUAUCAGCUUGUUGGUGGGGUAAUGGCCUACCAAGGCGGCGACGGGUAGCCGGCCUGGGAGGGUGGACGGCCACAUUGGGACUGAGAUACGGCCCAGACUCCUACGGGAGGCAGCAGUGGGGAAUAUUGCACAAUGGGCGCAAGCCUGAUGCAGCGACGCCGCGUGGGGGAUGACGGCCUUCGGGUUGUAAACUCCUUUCGCUAGGGACGAAGCUUUUUGUGACGGUACCUAGAUAAGAAGCACCGGCUAACUACGUG